UACGUAGGGUGCGAGCGUUAAUCGGAAUUACUGGGCGUAAAGCGUGCGCAGGCGGUUCGUUGUGUCGGCGGUGAAAGCCCCGGGCUUAACCUGGGAAUGGCCGUUGAAACUGGCGAACUGGAGUGUGGCAGGAGGGGGGUGGAAUUCCGGCGUGUAGCAGUGAAAUGCGUAGAGAUGCGGAGGAACGCCGAUGGCGAAGGCAGCCCCUGGGCUGACACUGACGCUCAGGCACGAAAGCGUGGGGAUCAAAC
rnacentral:rRNA from 1 species